rnacentral:rRNA from 1 species
UGAACGCUGGCGGCAGCUUUAAUACAUGCAAGUCGAGCGAGAAAGUUUCUUCGGAAACGAGUAAAGCGGCGAACGGGUGAGUAACGCGUAGGAAUCUACCAUUCAGCGGGGGAUAGCUCGGGGAAACUCGAAUUAAUACCGCAUACACCCUACGGGGGAAAGAAGGCCUAUCCUUGGAAGCUUUCACUGUUUGAUGAGCCUGCGUGAGAUUAGUUUGUUGGUGAGGUAAUGGCUCACCAAGACUACGAUCUCUAGCUGGUCUGAGAGGACGAUCAGCCACACUGGGACUGAGACACGGCCCAGACUCCUACGGGAGGCAGCAGUAGAGAAUAUUGGACAAUGGGGGCAACCCUGAUCCAGGCAUGCCGCGUGUGUGAAGAAGGCCUUAGGGUUGUAAAGCACUUUAGGUAAGGAAGAAAAGUUAAUAGUUAAUACCUAUUAACCGUGACAUUACUUACAGAAUAAGGACCGGCUAA